rnacentral:tRNA from 1 species
GGAGAGGUGCGAGAGCGGUUCAAUCGGACGGUCUCGAAAACCGUGACCCCUUACGGGGUCUCGUGGGUUCGAAUCCCACCCUCUCCG